rnacentral:ribozyme from 1 species
UUUUUUUUUUUUUUUUUUUUUUUUUUUCAU